rnacentral:rRNA from 1 species
UACGAAGGGAGCAAGCGUUGUCCGGAAUUAUUGGGCGUAAAGGGCGCGUAGGCGGCUAGACAAGUCAAAGGUGAAAUCCCUCGGCUCAACUGAGGAACUGCCUUUGAAACUGCAUGGCUUGAGUCCGGGAGGGGGUAGCGGAAUUCCCAGUGUAGCGGUGAAAUGCGUAGAUAUUGGGAGGAACACCAGUGGCGAAGGCGGCUACCUGGACCGGAACUGACGCUGAUGCGCGAAAGCGUGGGUAGCAAACAGG